AGGACCGAGUGCCGCUCACGCCC
rnacentral:siRNA from 1 species